ACCACGUUGGCCUAAUGGAUAAGGCGUCUGACUUUGGAUCAGAAUAUUGAGAGUUUGAAACCCUUCGUGUUU
rfam:TPA: Bos taurus chromosome 20, whole genome shotgun sequence.